rnacentral:rRNA from 1 species
UUGGAANCCANGUGNUAAUACCGGAUAACAACACUAGACGCAUGUCUAGAGUUUGAAAGAUGGUUCUGCUAUCACUCUUGGAUGGACCUGCGGUGCAUUAGCUAGUUGGUAAGGUAACGGCUUACCAAGGCAAUGAUGCAUAGCCGAGUUGAGAGACUGAUCGGCCACAUUGGGACUGAGACACGGCCCAAACUCCUACGGGAGGCAGCAGUAGGGAAUCUUCCACAAUGGACGAAAGUCUGAUGGAGCAACGCCGCGUGAGUGAAGAAGGGUUUCGGCUCGUAAAGCUCUGUUGGUAGUGAAGAAAGAUAGAGGUAGUAACUGGCCUUUAUUGACGGUAAUUACUNAGAAAGUCACGGCAACUAGG